rnacentral:rRNA from 1 species
AUUGAACGCUGGCGGAAUGCUUUACACAUGCAAGUCGAACGGCAGCACGGACUUCGGUCUGGUGGCGAGUGGCGAACGGGUGAGUAAUACAUCGGAACGUGCCCAAUCGUGGGGGAUAACGUAGCGAAAGCUACGCUAAUACCGCAUACGAUCUAAGGAUGAAAGCGGGGGAUCGCGAGACCUCGCGCGAUUGGAGCGGCCGAUGGCAGAUUAGGUAGUUGGUGGGGUAAAGGCCUACCAAGCCGACGAUCUGUAGCUGGUCUGAGAGGAUGAUCUGCCACACUGGGACUGGGACACGGCCCAGACUCCUACGGGAGGCAGCAGUGGGGAAUUUUGGACAAUGGACGCAAGUCUGAUCCAGCCAUUCCGCGUGCAGGAUGAAGGCCCUCGGGUUGUAAACUGCUUUUGUACAGAACGAAAAGGCUCUGGUUAAUACCUAGGGCUCAUGACGGUACUGUAAGAAUAAGCACCGGCUAACUACGUGCCAGCCGCCGCAGUAA